rnacentral:rRNA from 1 species
UACAGAGGGUGCGAGCGUUAAUCGGAAUUACUGGGCGUAAAGCGUGCGUAGACGGUAGCGUAAGUCAGAUGUGAAAGCCCCGGGCUCAACCUGGGAACUGCAUUUGAGACUGCUCUGCUCGGGUGCGGAAGAGGGAAGCGGAAUUUCCGGUGUAGCGGUGAAAUGCGUAGAUAUCGGAAGGAACACCAGUGGCGAAAGCGGCUUCCUGGCCGACACCGACGUUCAUGG